UGGGGAAUUUUGGACAAUGGGGGAAACCCUGAUCCAGCCAUCCCGCGUGUGUGAUGAAGGCCUUCGGGUUGUAAAGCACUUUUGGCAGGAAAGAAACGUCAUGGGUUAAUACCCCGUGAAACUGACGGUACCUGCAGAAUAAGCACCGGCUAACUACGUGCCAGCAGCCGCGGUAAUACGUAGGGUGCAAGCGUUAAUCGGAAUUACUGGGCGUAAAGCGUGCGCAGGCGGUUCGGAAAGAAAGAUGUGAAAUCCCAGAGCUCAACUUUGGAACUGCAUUUUUAACUACCGGGCUAGAGUGUGUCAGAGGGAGGUAGAAUUCCGCGUGUGGCAGUGAGAUGCGUGGUUAUACGGAGGAACACCGAUGGCGAAGGCAGCCUCCUGAGAUAACACUGACGCUCAUGCACGAAAGCGUGGGGGGCAAACAGG
rnacentral:rRNA from 1 species